rnacentral:rRNA from 1 species
ACAAAAACAUGUCUUUUUGAUUAUAAUAUAAAGUCUAACCUGCCCACUGAUAUUUAUUAAAGGGCCGCGGUAUAUUGACUGUGCAAAGGUAGCAUAAUCAUUUGUCUUUUAAUUGAAGGCUAGAAUGAAUGGUUGAAUGAAAUAUUAACUGUCUCAUUUUUAAAAUUUUAAAAAUUUAGCUUUUUAGUUAAAAGGCUAAAAUUUAUUUAAAAGACGAGAAGACCCUAUAGAUCUUUAUAUUUAUAAAAAUUUUAUGUUUUUGAAUUAUAUAAAUUAAAAUUAAUUAUAAAUAUUUUAUUGGGGUGAUAGGAAAAUUUAAUAAACUUUUUAUAAUAAUAUAACAUAAAUUAAUGAAUUUUUGAUCCUUUAUUAAAGAUUAUAAAAUUAAGUUACCUUAGGGAUAACAGCGUAAUUUUUUUGGAGAGUUCAUAUCGAUAAAAAAGAUUGCGACCUCGAUGUUGAAUUAAAGGUUAUUUCCAGAUGGAGAAGUUUGGAGUUUAGGUCUGUUCGACCUUUGAAUCUUUACAUGAUCUGA